rnacentral:lncRNA from 1 species
AAAAAAAGUUCUUAAGGUCCAUGACAAGAAGUUUUUGAUCUUGAACAAACAUCAUAUGAUUACACAAAGUCUUUGACUACCUUCUAUAUUUGAAACCACCAAAAAUAUAUAGAUAUUAAUUCUAAAGUCUUAUUAUAUCCAAAAUAUCUAGUUGUUAAAAAGUAGUGAUAAACUUGAAAAGCACGUAAUUGUACUUUGUUUUUUUGGAUGUAUUAUUAUUUUUCAAAAUAGAAUAGAUUAUUUUUAAAUUUGAACUUAAAAGUAUUAUAAGACUUUGAAGAAUUAUUCUUAAUAUUAUAAACAAGAAGAUUAAAUGACAUACUUAAUUAAACUUGCUUGAAAAAAGGUUGAAUCAAUAAUCAAUUUGAAUUUCAUUUUUUGAAGAUGAAAAUGCUUUGGCUUCAAGAGAAUUUUUUUUAUUGAUUAAAAGCCUCAUUUAUUUCUUUUGGUGGAAGAUAAGAAUAUCUAAAAAAGGCAUUUGAUAAACCUUAUUUUUUGAUGUUAUAUAGUAAUAUGAUCAUUAGGUAAAAGAAAAAAGAAAUUAUUUUAUUAUAAAAGAACCUAAUUAAAAGAUAUAAUAAAAAACCAUAAAAUCUUAUCGUAUUAGAACUACCUUUAAUGAAAAUAGAUUCUAAUUACUUUUUACGACCAUAAAUAAUAUAAUAUAAGAUAGAUAAAAUUGAAUGAGCUCAAAUUAUUAAAUUAUCUAUCUUAUAUUAUAUUAUAUUAUAUUAUAUUAUCGUAUUAUGAAUUUGAGCUCAUUCAAUUAAUAUAUAUUAUAUUAUAUUAUAUUAUCUAUCUUAUAUUAUAUUAUAUUAAAUUAUCUAUCUUAUAUUAUAUUAUAUUAUAUUAUAUUAUUUGAGCUCAAAUUAUCUAUCUUAUCUUAUAUUAUCUUAUCGUAUUAUGAAUUUGAGCUCAUUCAAUUGGUUAAGUUAAAGAUUAUUGAAGUUCAAGUGGAUUAUAGUCUCAAAAAUUGGAGUUAGAAGAUUAGUGGGAUUUUUAGGAUCUUUAGUAAUUUACCAAUUUAAUUGAAAUGCUAAUUAUUUAUAUAUAUAGUAGACUUGAUUUCUAAAAUUUAUGUGAAUUUAAGAAGGAGAUAUUUAUGCUAGAAGCUCAGCAUCAAGGUUGGAGAAAGAAGAUACUUAAGACUUGAAUGGAUUAUCUUACAUUUCUCUCAAUUGAUAAGUACAAUUGAUCUCAUUUUUCUUGUGCUUGUGUUCAAUUGAAUUAUUGAGAAGUAUGAAAAAUUGGAGUUGAUAUCAAUGGUUUAAUUAUUAAUUUUUAAGAUUUCAAUCUACUGUAGGAUUUGUAAAGAAUUUAGUUAGGCUUUAUUAAGUUUUGAUCUAGGAUUUUAUUAAGAUUUAGUUAGCAUUUUAUUAGAAUUAAACUUGAAUUUAAUUAAGAUUUUGUUAGGAUUUGGUUAAAAUUUAUUUAAUAUUUUAUUAGAAUUUGAUUAAAAUUUGGUUAAAAUUGAUUUAAGAUUUUAUUAGAAUUUUGUUAAGAUUUGUUGGCGAUUAUAUUAAGAUUUAGUUAUGAUUCAAUUAAGAUUUUUAUUUUUAAUAUUUUUUUAAUAUUACUUUGAUGCUUUUUAUUAUUUUUAUUAUAUAUAAUAUUUUAAAAUUAAUUUAUUAUUUUUUAUAUUUCUUUUGUUAGUCUUCAAGAUUCUUUUAAAUUUUAAUUUAAAUUUGAUUAAUAUUUUUUAAAUUUAAUUAGAGUUUAUUUAAAAUUCUUUAAGAAUUGUUAGGACCUUUUUAUUGCAAGUUUUAUUUUACUUUCUGUAGCCAAGUAUCUGAUGCAUUUUCAAGCAAACUUCACAAAAUAUAACAUCAAGUCAAUAAAUGAUCUUGAAAUCAAAUUUUGAUAAGAUUUUACUUUAACAAGCUUAUUAAUGAUUUAAAAUACAUAGCAAUAUGAAAUAUUCAAUGUUCUUAUGAUUUAUAUAUACAAUGAUUAGAUUAAAAGUGUCUUCUAGAUAAUAAUAUCAUUCUUAAAAUGAAUCUACAAUUGCAAGAAGUUUUUUGUUGUGGAUCUCAUAGUUGAACUUGACUACUAAAAAUCUCAUUACAUGAAAAGCUACCAAGUAGAACUUAUCAUCUACUCCCGUUUAUGACAAAAUAAUACCUAUAGCAAAGUUUAAUGCAUCUAUUUUAUAAAAAAUCCCUUAAAAAAAUUAAUGCAAUACAAGAUUGGCGUAAAAAUAAAUGUUGUCUUCAAGGCUUUAAAAGAUGCUUCAGCUUCUUUGCUCCAUUAAAUUUUAUUUUUAUAUUAUAGACAUAUAAGAAGAAUCAUAAUUUUUUUAAAAAUUUAAUAAAGAUCUAAUAAUAGUUGAAAAAUUCUAAAAAAUAUGAUUAUCUUUUACUAUUUUUGAAAUCUUUCAAUCUGUGAUAGUUUAAAUCUUCUUUGAAUCCAUCAUAAGGUCAUCAUUUGAAAUGAUGUAUUUUAAGAAAUCAACUUAAAUUAUGUAAAAUACUCAUUUUUUUCAUCUUAGCAUACAAUCCCAUAUCUUUUAGUUUUUGUAAUAAAUAACAAAUUUAAAGUUUUUGCUCUUUAAUAUUCUUAGAAUAGAUUAAAAUGUCGUCAAGAUAAUGGACAAUAAAAUCAUCAAAAAAAUCACAAAAGACAUGAUUUAUUAGAUGUUGAAAAGCAAUUAGUACAUUUUUAAGUCCAAAUAGCAUGACAUUAUAUUUAAAAUGCUCACAUCUCAUUCAUAAUGUAAUUUUUCACUUAUUUCUUUAUUUCACUGAUGUAUACCAAGUUGUAUGUUCUUUGUAGAACUAUUUUUUUAUAGAUCUUUGCUUCAUUGUCUUGAUCAAGAAGUCCUAAAAUCAAAGAUAGAAGAUAUCUAUUCUUGAUGGUGAUCUCAUUAAGUCCUCAAUAGUUCACACAUAAGUGCAAAAAUCUAUUUUUUUUUCUUCACAUAUAACAUGAAAGUCCUUAUUGGAGAUUUAGAAUGGCAUAUGAAGUUCUUACCUAAAUUCUUGUCAAUUUAUUCUUUAAAUACAGCCAAUUCAUUCUAUGAUAGGCUACAAAUUGAUCUAAAUGAUGCUUUAAUUCCUUCUUAAAGUUCAAUGGAAUAAUCACAGAAAUAAUGCUCUACAAAAUAUAUACAUUUUUUUUCUUAAAAACGUCUUGAUAAACUUAAUAUUAGCUUGAAAUGUCACUUGAUAUUUUUUUUUUCUAUUGAGAAUAGAUGAGGCAUAUAUAGCAAAAAUUGACCCUUCUUUUAUAGCAUGCAUGAAAGCUCUCACACCUAUUAAUAAGGAUUUGGAUAUAUCAGACUUAUGGAUUUUUACUUGACUAGAAAAAUCUUGGACUAAAUUAUAGAAGAAAUCAAGGUCAUAAGAAAUCUAGUCAAUUUAAAGAUUAUAUUUUUUUAAUCAAGAUAAUUCUAAAAUAAUUAGGUUAGAAGGAAAUCUAAUCUUAUUAAAUAUUAUUAAACUAUUAUGACCACUAGUUGUUAUAUUAUAAGGAACAAUUUUAUAGAUAGCAUUUCUAAAAGACAACAAAUGACCAUCUAUUAUUUUUACAUAUAUAGGUUUGGUUUUUUUAAUUAAAAAUAUUUCAUAUUUUUUAACAAAGUCUUUAUUUAUAAAACAAGCUAAAGCUCCCAAAUCUAAUAAGGCUAAGACUUUUUGAUAUGUUGGUGUCACAAACAUACACAUAUAAGCUAGUAAUUACCUAUAUAAAUAGGUAAAUAGAAGUAGUUAAAAGUAAGUUAAUUCUAUAAUAUCUUCUAUGAAAGCUUGUUAGAAGCUUUAUAGAUGUUGCUUUGACUUUAAAGGUAUAUUUAAUUGACUUUUUGGACUAAAAACGUGGUCAACAAAUUGGCCAUGUGCCACAUAUGUUAGCUUGAAGAUCAAGCUAACUAUGUGGCCCACACAUAAAAAAACUUGCCUUAUAAGUCAAGGCAUGUGUCCUACAAAGUCAACACAUAUUGAAGGUCCUAUAGAAUAUCACCACGUAGUUCCUAAUUAGAUAGUAUAUAAAAAGACAAGAGUGAAGCCCUCUUCACUCUUGUCAAUUCUUUUCUUUCUUCUAGUCUAGUUUCAAGAGUCUCAAGUUUUCUUAUCUUUUAGUAAUAAGUCUUUCCAGUUUUUUUUAAUAUACGUACUUCUUUAUUUCUAUUUUGUCACUCUUUCUUUGACAUGGAUUUCAUUAUUUAUGCAUCAUCUUUUAGUUCAUAUCCUUGACAGAUUGACAAAAGUGCACUUAUAGUAUCAGAGCUUUGUCUUGUUUUGAUUAAAAGUCGAUUACUUCUUUUUCAUGAUAAGACAUAAGUAUAUUAGAAGUUAUGGAUUACCCUCUUCUAAAUUGAUAUUAUUCUUAGUAUUUUCUUUAUCCUCAAGUCCUUUCUUCUAUUUGUCUUGAGUGGUAUUAGAUAUUUUUCUGAGUGUUAUUAUGGUAGAGCUUCUCGAAACGAAGAGUGCAAUGAUACAAAUGUAAGAACAAUUGAGGGAGUUGAUGCUUGCGAUGCAUCAAUUUAGCUUACUACUAUAAGGAUCAACAAGAAUGGCAAGAAGUGGGGAUAUAGAGAUGAUUAGAGUUGCUUCAACAUCUACACCAAAUCAUGUCCCUCUAUCCAUGGUGGAACAUCUUUUAAGUAUUAAAGAACUAAGAGUUACCCUGCUCGAGAAGUUUGGUGGUAUAAAAUCCAAAUUUCAAAGAUUUAUUAAUCAAGUACAACUUGUGAUUGAACUCCAACCUCAAAGCUAUCCAACUCUUAGAUCACAAGUUAGAUUUAUGUCAAGUUCAGCACUAUCAUGGUUUUCAUCUUUUCUUGAAUGACAAGCUCCAAUAUUGGAUAAUAUAGAGGUAUUUUUGGUGGAAUUUUGGUCCAUGUAUGGAGAAUAUGAUGCAACUCGUAUUACAACCAAAAAGAUCCAUAUUUUGUGACAAAGCAAUCGAUUUGUAACGUUAUAUGCUUCACAAUUUUGACAACUUAUAAUUGAUAUCAAGUGGGAUGAUGCUGCACUUAUUAGCCAAUUUCUCUAUGGAUUACAAUAUGAAGUAAAAAAAUUCAUCCUGAACUUCCUUGAUUCUCAAACAUUGAGUCAUGCAAUUGUGUUUGCUGUGAAAUGUGACAAUUGAUUUUUUGAAUUUUGAUCUGAGAGUCAUACAAAUAUGCCUCAACGUUACUAAAAUUUGAUGGCAAAACUAACAUCUCAUCAACACAUACAUUCAAAAGCAAAGGAUAUGCAAAUUGACGCGGUAUGUUUUAAACAUCUUAUCAAGUAAGAAAAGACUCGUCGCCGUCAAGAAGGAUUGUACUUAUAUUGUGAAGAAUCUAAACACAUUACUCAACAUUGUCCAAAGAAGCAAAAAAAUCACAAAAUGAGGAGUUCAUCUGUCAAAGAAGAUAAUGUGUCGGAAAAUGAAUUUGUCCAAUUACAAUAGGGACUGUGUAGCUGGAAUCUUAUAUAAUUUCUAAUGAAGGUCCUAUCCUCUCCUCAAAACCCUCUCUUUGUUUUAUAAUAGAUGUGCGUUUAAGACCUAAUAAUUAUAAAGCCUUCUUCUUGAUAAAUUCAGGAGCCUCAGCUUGUUUUUUAGAUGUAGAAUUUAUUAAAAAUCAUAAAAUAUCAUCAGUACAAAAAAUCAAACGUGUUCAUAUAGAAGUCAUAGAUGGUCGUCCAUUGUCUUCUGGAGAUAUUACUCAUAAAAUACUUUCUAUAGAUGUAGCAAUAAAUGGUCUUAGUAGUUGCAUAAUCUUUAAUAUAAUUAGAUCUCCCUCUCAUCCAAUCAUUUUAGAUUUAUCAUAAUUAGAAAAGUAUAAUCCUUGCAUAGAUUGGAUUUCUCAUAUCCUUGAUUUUUCUAAAAGCAUAAAUAAGAGUGAAAUUAAUCCAAUAGAAAGUCAUAAGUCUAGUACAAUUAAACCUAUGUUUGUAGAUGCAAGAGCUUUCUUACAUGCUACAAAAGAAGGACCACCUUGUGUCAUUUAUACUACACCUGUUUCAAAAAAUAUUUCUUCUACUCAAAAAAGUAUUUGAGCAAAAAAAGUAUCUGAACAACCUUGGUUUUUGAGUAGAAGAAUGUAUCAUAUUAUUAUAACCAAACUUUAUCAAUGGCAAAAGAGUUCUUUAAUCAUCUUGAUGUUAAUUGAUGGUACAGCUCAAAUAUUGCUUCAAAACUUCUUCAAUUUGUUCUAUUUAUCUAAAAAUUUGAAGAUAUAAAGUCAAAGAUAGUUUUGUAUCUAUUUUUAAUAUCUUAAAAAUGAAUCUCUAAAAUCUUAAUAUAAAUUGAAUUUUUCUAUCCAAUAUAAUAUCUUUUAAUAAUUAAUGAUAGCAAUAAAUGUUGUGAAAGAAAAAUUUAGAUGUUUCUUUAUUUAUGAUAGUUUUUGCAGAUAACAUAAAAUGUGCCAUCUUGGUGAUAGAAUCUACUAUCACAAAUAUAAAAUUGUAAGAACUUGAAGUAGAAAGAUCCAUGGUAAAAUCUAUAGAAACAAAAAACCAAGGUUCUUCAGAUAUAGAUCAUAAUUAAAGAAAUCCAUAAGAUUGGUGAUGAGCAGUUUUUGAUUUUGAACAAACAUCAUAAGAUUGUACAAAGUCUUCGACUGCCUUCCACACAUGAGGCUACUAAAAAUCUCUUAAUAUAAAUUCUAAAGUCAUAUUUUAUCUAAAAUGUCAUAUAAUUGGAAAGUCUUUACAAGCUUAAAGAGCAUGUAAUUGAGCUUCAAUAUUUGGAUGUCACGGACAUAUAUAUUUAUUCCAAUAAUUAUUUAUAUGAUUCAAUAGAAGUAAAUAAACAUAUAUUAAUUGAUAAAUAUUUUGUGGAAAAGCUUUCUAGAAGCUUCAUAAAUAUGACUUUGACUUUAUAUAUAUUUGUAGUUGAUUAAUGGAAUAAAAACUUAAUCAACAAAUUAACCAUAUAUUGUAUGUAUUGGUAGCUUAUAAAAUAAGCUAACUAUAAGGUGUACAUAUAAAAAACUUAUCUUGCAAGUUGAAACAUGUGUCUUGUAAUUUGGACAUGUAUUGGAGGUCCUAAAGAACAUCACUACAUAGCUUUUAAUUAAAUAGUAUAUAUGGAGGCAAGAAUGAAGCCUUCUUCACUCUUGUCAAUGUCUUUGUGCUCGUUAGUCUUGUUUUAAGACUUUCUAAUUUUCUUGUUUUGGCAAUAAUAAUUCUAAAUUUUAAUAUUAUAUUAGUUUUGAAUGAAUAUCUAUUCUUUUGAGUUACAUAAGAGUAUAUUGAAUUUUUUAUUCUUUGCAAUUUAUAUUCUUGGUAGUUUAAUAAGAAACUUAAUUUUUUGUUCUUGUUUUAUUCUAAUAGUGAAUAGAAUAUUCAACUUCUAUUGUUACAUUUUUAAAGGUUACAAACCAUCUACCUUUCAAUUAACUUAUAGUUUUUUAAAAUUAUUUUUUUUCUUAGAAAGAGAAGAUUAUCUCUCUUUAUAAAAUAUUUAUUUAAUAUUAGAGGUUAAAAAUUACCUUAUUUUAAUUUAAUUUUUUAAAUUUAUUUGAGUUAUCUAUGAAAAAAAAAUUAUGGAUAUUAUUCUUAAAAAAAAUUAAAAUAGAUUUGAAAUUAUUGCAAAUCUUCACAAGCUUGUCAAUACUCUUAGGAUAGAAAUCUCACGUAUUUUUAUUAUGAAUCAUGGAGAUACUAUUACUAUGCCUAUAAAAAAAAUUAAUCAUAAAAUUCAAAGUUUCCACCAAAAAUUUUUAUAAUUAAGAAAAAGAAGUAGAUCAAAUUGACUACUAAAUUCAAGAAGUUUAAUUACUAUAAAUAUAAAGAAGGACAUAAUAAAUAUAUUAGAGAAGUUUGAUGGAAGAAGAUCGAAGUUUUAAGGGUUUUUACAGAAUUAAAACUCUUUCCAAGAUUGCAUUCUUUUCAAUAUUCUAAUAGAUUAUUCAAUUUAAAUUUAUAGAAGCACUUCUCUUUAAAAAUAUUCUUUUUUGAUUUUUAUCUUUAAUAGAAUAUAUUCAAGAUUAAUCUUAGAUUUGAUUUCAUUGUUGAAAGUAUUUUCAAUUAUACUUGAAAAAAGUGAUUGACAAAUUAUAGCAAAGACCAAACUUGUAUCUCUAUAAUAAUAAUCAUGUUUAGCCACUGUAUAUGCUACUAAAUUUCAAAACCUUUUUUAAAAUAUAGAUUAGAAUAAUAAAGAUUUUAUAAAUUAAUUUUGAUAUAAAUUAAAAUUUAAUAUCAAAGAUUUAUUGUUGGCAUUGCUAAGACUAGAUUUAUUAGAGUAGUUUAUUAAUCUGGCCAUUGUAUGCAACAAUUGAUUCUUUAAAAGACAUCAAGAAUAAAGAUUUGGUUGAAGAUGUACAAAUGAAGCGAUGGCAACACCUUCUAAGUUUUUGGAAGCUUAUUCAUCUAAGCCAAAGCCUAUAUAAAUUUACAUAAUAGGAAAUUGAGCAAAAAAAGACUCAUCAUUAUCAAAAAGGUUUCUACUUAUAUUGUAGAGAAUCCAAGCAUACAACUCAAUAUUUUCCUAAAAAACUUAAUCAAAAAAUAAAGAGCUUGGUUGUGAAAGAAGACAAUGUGUCAAAAAAUAAAAUCUUUAAGCUACAAUAGAGACUAUGCAGUUGGAAUCUUAUACAUUAUCUAGUAAAGGUUUUAUUUUUUCCUCAGAUCUCUCACCUUAUUUUAUAAUAGAAGUUUAUUUAAGACCAACUAUGAAGGAUAUGAAAUAAAAGUUGAUGCAUAAACAAUGAAAUCCAUGUCAAAGAAAGAGUGACAAAAUAGAAAUAAGAAAGUAUGUAUAUUAAAAGAAACUCGAAAGGCUUAUUACUAAAAGACAAGAAAACUUGAGACUCUUGAAACUAGACUAGAAGCAAGAAAGGAGUUGACAAGAGUGAAGAAGGCUUCACUCUUGUCUCUAUAUAUACUAUCUAAUUAAGGGCUAUGUGGUGAUGUUCUACAUGACCUUCAAUGUGUGUUGACUUUGUAGGACACAUGCCUUGACUUAUAAGGUAAGUUUUUCUACGUGUGGGCCACAUAGUUAGGUUGAUCUUCAAGCUAACAACAUGUGUGGCACAUGGCCAAUUUAUUGACCACGUUUUUAGUCCAAAAAGUCAAUUAAAGAUACCUAUAAAGUCAAAGUAACACCUAUAAAGUCAAAGCAACAUCUAUAAAGCUUCUAAGAAGCUUCCAUAGAAGAUAUUAUAGAAUUAACUUGCUUUUAAUUACUUCUAUUUAUCUAUUUAUACAAGUAAUUACUAGCUUAUAUGCAUAUGUCUAUGACAUUAUUCUCCCUUCUAGGGAUGAGUUCCAUGAAAAGUAGUCAUCAUAUCUUGAAGAAAUCUAUGAUGUGACGAAUUGUAUUCACCACAUACUUAGAUCUUUAUUUUCUUUGAAGAUGGUUGAUGGGGCCUCUCAACCAUUGAUAGUAUCCCAUACCAGGGCGGAAAGACCAUCCUAUUAUCUGACCGUUGUUGAGGCCUUCAUAACUUCUUUCAAAUAAAAUAUUUAGAACACCAUUAGGAAUUGUUUCUACCUCUAAUAAAAUUAUCAAACAUCAGGAGUCUCUUCCAAGGUUGUGAUACCAAAAAAUAUUUCUUCUACUCAAAAAAUAUCUUACUUUAUUACUUAUAAUUAUCAUCCAUAAGUUGAUACUUUUGACUUUUUAAAAAUUAAUAAUCUAAUGGAAGAAAAUUUGGCAAAUUAUUUAUAAGAUCUACAUAUAAUAAUGAAGCGACAAUUAAUAAAAGAUUAAGUAUAAAAAAAGACUAUGUAGAUAUUUAUUAUAAGAAAUAACUUGAAUUCCACAAUUAUCAUUUAUAUCUACAUGUGUCAAUAAAGAUUCAUUCUAUAUUCCAUGUAUUUCUUUUUAAGCCAUAUAAAACAAUAGAUAUAUCAAAAAAAAGAUAAAUAACACCUCUUCUUAUAAAAAAAAUAAAAAAAUAAAAAUAAAAAAAUAAAGUUGAAGAAUUCUUAAAUUCAAGCUAAUGUCAAAAUAGGUUGGAAUAUUUUGCAUAUUAGCAUGGAUAUAAUAUUAGUAAGUAUAGAUAAGAGCUAGCCAAAAAUCUUGCAAAUGUAGCAAAGAAGGUUGAUGCUUUUUAUUAUCAACAUUCAUCAAAAUCUGGAUAAAGAAUCAAGCAAUUCUAUUAUUACAAAAAAAAAAAAAAAAAAAAAAAAAAAAAAAAUUAUUGAAGAUUGUAUUCUAUUUUGUAUAUUUAUAUAUAAUUUAUGUAUACUUAUAUCAUUAAUGAGAUAAAAGAUCAAUAACUACCAAAAUCAAAUCACAAGGUAUUAUUUGUUGAAUUUGUAGAUAAUCCUAUGAAAUUAUCAUGGACUUCAAGAUGAUAUAAUAGAAAUAAAGAUGCCUAAGAAUGAUAAGCUUUUUUUCAAAUAGAUAGUGCAAUAAUGAAAUAGUGAGAUAUAAUAUGUCUUUGAAAAAAGUACCUUAUUGUAUACAACUAAAGUUUAAGAUAAUUUGUGGUAGCAUAAGUAAAAUAAACUAUAAUAGCAUAUAGUAGAUGACAAGUUGUAGUAGUAAUAGCAACACAUUACAUAUAUAUAUAUAUAUAUAUAUAUAUAUAUUAUUUAUUUUUAUUUAUAUAUUUAUUUAUUUACAUACAUAUAAAUUAUAAUUAUACAUCUAUAUGUACAUACAUGUUAUAAUUAUAAAUAAAAAAAAAUAACAAGUUUAAGAUAUAAAAGUUCAUAACAAUGAUAAUCAUGUAAAUAAAAAUAAAUAAAUCAAGUUCUAAAUUUUGAUAAUAAAUUUGCAAGAUCUUAUACAUACAUGCAUACAUACAAACACACAAUUGAAUUAAAAUGCAUACAUUUAUACUUUCAAAAUAUUGAAUGAAUUAGAAUUGUAAGUGAACUUAAAAUUGUUUGUAAACUUUUUGAAUAAAAUCAACAUUUCAAAAAACAAAUACAAACUUUUACAUAUUGAUACAAUCAGAAUUCUGAUUUGACAUUGUUGGUUUAAUUGUUUGUAAUAAUGUGGAGUAAUUAUUGUCAUUACAAUAGCAUAGGAGUAAUUAGGUAUGUCAGAUUCAUAGACUUGACAUUCACUACAAUUAUAGUUUUUAUUAAUUAAAAAUGAUAUAUCCAGUUUUCAGUUGUAUACUUUAAAGAGAUUAUUGUAUUUGUGUUUUUUCUAAAUGUUUCAUAUAUUUGUUUAAAAAUUAAAAUGUGUAUGUUCUUGUAUGUAUAUAUGAAUGUAUGUAUGUAUACAAAAUUAUUUUUUCAGAAACAUAGAUCCUGUAAUAACUACAAACUUAUAAAGGUUUAUUUAUAUACUACUUUGGAAAAAUAAAGGUGGAGAUAGAACAAAACAUUUGAAAAUAAUCACAUAUUAUAAAAACUUAACUAAAUAAGUGUUAGUUUUUGUAAGAAAUAUGUUAAUUUGAAGUCAUGAACUGAAUACUAAAUGUACCUUUACCAAUUUCUGAGGUCUUCAUUAAAAAAGAGGCCUAAAAAAGAAAUUAAAAAUGUGGGUGUUGGUUCAUUUGUCAAAGAUAUUUAAUCAUGAAUUUUCAAAUUUAAAAAUAUAUAAAAUGUUGUGUUCUAUGAUUUGUCACACCAUGAAAUAUCAACAACAGUUUUGAAGAGUAAGAUAUGAAGUACAGCACUUCAGAACAUAAUCAACAUAUAAAAGCAUCUAUCUUGUUCAAAUACUAAUUUAGUUUUGAGAUCUCAUGGUAAUACAGUCUAAAUAAGAAAUGCGCAACAUUUUUAUAUCAGUAAGUAUCAUAAGUUACAACGAUAAAUUAAACAAAUAAAUGCAUAAAUGGAUAAUGGCUCCCAUGCGGCGUUCAUAGGUCCCAGAAGUUGAAGUAGGCAGUUAAAGACCUCUAGAGGUUAUUGAAGGUGGUUAUAGGCCCGAAUAGACUGGGUCACCAAACUGCAGUCUUCCGAGGACACAAGACGCAUGUAGAUGCUCGCUGAGUUGAUCCUGAAACCAAUCACAUUCUGUCAAAUAAGUAACACAAUGAGCAGCAUUGUUUUAGAAUGGUCCGGACAAACUGAUGAACGAUUUGUCACCACGUAAAGAUGUAGAUCUUUCGUGAUGAACCAGAAGAAACCAGGAAAAACCACGCAGAACCCGAAAACUUCGACACUUUCGAUGAAUUGCUCCUGGAGUCUAGGCUUCCAAUCACUUUGUGCCAUCAAUUGCGCAGGUUUAGAUAUAGUGACUCGGCAUAAUUUCGUCGCACCCUGUUUUUCGAGGUCUGAUCGGUCGGUGUAUUUGCACGUACAGUGGUUGGGUGUGGUUCUAACUCCAACGGCAUCGACCAACUUCUCGCUGCAGCUCUUCUCUGCUCCGAGCUUCUGGUUCAUCGAGGUGGGGUCUUCGGCAAAGCUCGACGGUGCUGCGCACAUGUCGUUGCGCGGCGAUUGCCGAAAUCCUGCUGUUGCACGGACUGGGUCUCGGGGUGCUUAAUGCCUCGUCAAUAGUUCACACGAUUGUUUUAUGUACAGAAUCUAUCUUUACUUGACGGUUGCUCGAUUCACGCCGUGACCGCUCAUCGAUCCGAUGAUUGAAGUGGAGACCGAGUUUCAGUGUCGGUGAAUUGUAGCGACAGAGGGCAACAAGAUCGGUGAAGCAUAUGCGAUCUGGCUCGAAAAGAACGUGUUUCAAAUUGUUCCUAUAUAAAUUGAAGCACGUUGCUUGUGCUCAAAACAAAGGCAUGUUCGAAUCUAUUACAUGUUUGAAGUAUACUAUGAAAGUUUGUUAUGGCAUAAUACCGCUACGUAUACUUGUACAUAGAUUCAUCCCAAUGCAUCUAUACUUCAUAUAUUCGAAUUCACGUGUUGAAAUAUCUGUAUAAAUUGAAGCAUCCUAUAAAAUAAACUAUUAAUAAUCAUUGAGCUUGAGUCCUAAUUCAUGGCAGACAUUCAUGAGAUCGCAACGUAUAAUAUUUUCUAAGUUGACAAAAUUAUUUUCUGUUUGAUUGGGAAACAUGUGAAAACAUGCAACGUGACACAAGCUGAUUCAGUGAUCUCAACCAGUUAAGCGUGCAAGAUUGGCAACAAAAUCGUCUGAGAAUCCUUCAUCUGUAGAACAUGAAACGUGGGUACAAAGAAGGUUCUCUACCCUUUUCCUACUUUUAAGUAUAGUUUAGUAACUGAUUCGUUGAUUGGUAACAUGAGCUGUAAUAAAAUUAUUGUGGUUGAAUCAUGGAAGGCAAAUAAAGAUGUGGAAUGAUUGUAAGUUGUUUAUUAGUAGUUGUAUUAAAUACCCAUAAUGUACAGGCGUUUUGUAUGUAUCAAACUGAUUGAGGAAUUUCAAUUGAUUAAUUAUAUGCUUGUGGAAUACACAAGUUAGCAUGUGUCCACAAAUCUUGUCCUAUGUGAUUGUAAUUGAUUGUUACUGUAACAAUCAACCACGUUUAGUAAUAAUCAGAUACACAGUCAAAAUCAAAAAUAUGAUUUGUGCAUAUAUAUAUAUAUAUAUAUAUAUGUGUGUGUGUAUGCAUAAGUGUAUGUAUAAAAGAAACAGCUGUUGGCUUUAUUUUUAAUGCCAAUACAUGAUACUUUUUAAUUGAUUUUUAAACCAAUAUAGGCAUGUUAAAUUAUCACUUUCUAUGCAUCGGUAACAAGAGCUAUCAUGUAUUGUUUCCUAUUUUUUUGAAGCACUUUAAACUUCAAUAAUUGUUUGUAAAUGUAUAAUAAAUUAAAUUAUAUGUUAGUAAUUCUGAUUGAUAUAUUUUUUAUGUUUAUAUGUUCCUUUUUAUAAAAUCAAAACUAUGUGUAAGUUCAUAAUACCUUCUAAAAUUAUAAUAAUUUAAUAGAACAUUGAUAACAUAGUUGCAACUUUUAUAUAUAUAUAUAUAUAUAUAGAUUCCUUUCAAAACAUGUUAUAAAUUUGAUGUCAAAUAAUUUACUAAAAUUAUCCUAUUGUUUUUUAAGUUAUUUAAAAAAUUCAUGGGCAUUCUUUUUGUGAUGUAGUUCCAAUAAAAUAUUGGAAUAAAUUAUAUAAAUAUACUCAUUCAUAUUAUUAAAAACCCAAUCCAUUGGAAAAACAAAUAUUUGUAGUAAAAUUCAUAGAUAUAGUACAAAAAAAUUUAAUUAAAAAAAAGUAAGUGUAAUAUAUAUAUAUAUAUAUAUAUAUAUAUUGACAUUUAUAUUUAAGAAUAUAUUUUUUUCUAAAAACUUCAUGAUUAAUUAUGUAUUAAUUUGACUUUUAGUAUUAAAAAAUGUUUGUGAUGUGAAAGUCAAUCUUAUAUGUUUACUUUUAUCUUAGAGACAUUGUCAAUAUUAUAAACAUAUUUAGUUACAUUUAUAUGUACUGUUUUAGAACCAUGUAAAUUAAAUCUUCUUUUUUCUGUAUACAAAUUUUAAAAGAACUUUAUUUGAAGAGUAUACAAUUCAUUCACCAAUAAGAGAAUUUGUUUAUCUCAGUAAAAAUUUGCUUCUAUCAAAACCUAUCAUAUAUUAAUUGAAACAUAUAUUAUUUAGUAUACCAAUUACAUUUGUAGAGUCUUCUUUAAAAUCUCUACUAUACUUAUGGUAAUAUUCUAUUAUUCAAAUUGAUUUAUUUAUUUGCUCAAUAUACCAAUCAUUUCUAACAUACUCACAAAAAUAUCCCACUAUUUAUUAAUACAAGCUAAUUCUAUUGUUUAAACAAUAAUAUUCA